CUAUUUCCAAGGAGAGUGCCGAUUAUCUCUUUCUCGCAGCUUUUCUGUAUUUCCUCUUCAGAAGCAAAAGCCUAGCCUCCAUCCUCCAUCCUCUAGUAGCCGUCUCACCUGAAUUUGAGAUUUGGAAGCAGAAAACGAGAAGGCUAAGAGGAUGGUGAAGGACGUGGCUACCUACUUCUCUAUGACUUUGGGGGCUUUUGUGUUCUGGCAAUCUUUGGAUGAAGUCCACGUCCGGAUCGCUCUGCAUCAGGACGAAAAGAUGAAGAUUUGGACACGUUGGGGUUCGAGAAGGUCACCGAGGAGUUCAUCGGAGAGUGCAAGUUGGAAGCUUUGCUUCUCUGCCAUAAAAAGACAGGUGCCUAAGUCGCUUCCAUGUCCAACGACGACGAAAAUAAGGUUUUUGGCAUCGUUUUCUGAACCCCACUUGAGAUAUGAGGAAUGAUGAAGGAGCUACUUAAGUAGUGAGAUACAUGAAGGAGCUAUAUGAAGGAGUGAUGAAAAAGCUAUAUGAAGGAGUGAUGAAGGAGCUACAUACACUGUAUGUACAAAAGGGAAGAUGCUUUUACCUGCACGUCUUCAAAAGAAUUCAAGUUUGCAUUUUCGAAGUAUGGGGACUAGUGUUGAUAUGUUCAAACACAUAUCUUAGGUUUGCAAUGAAUGUAUUGGCUUUACCACAUUGAUCAUAUAUACGUUUUUAUUAA